UCGUUGCUGCGCGCGGGCUUUCUCUAGUUGCGGUGAGCAGGGGCUACUCUUUGUUGCGGUACAUGGGCUUCUCAUUGCGGUGGCUUCUCUCUUGUUGCGUGGUUUCUCUCUUGCACACGGGCUUCAGUAGUUGUGGCAUAUGGGCUCAGUAGUUGUGGCUCGUGGGCUCUAGAGCGCAGGCUCAGUAGUUGGGGCGCACGGGCUUAGUUGCUCCGUGGCAUGUGGGAUCUUCCCGGACCAGGGCUCGAACCCGUGUCCCCUGCAUUGGCAGGUGGAUUCUUAACCACUGCGCCACCAGGGAAGCCCUAAUGUCUGCCUCUUAAUUCACAACUAUAAUGUCUGCCUCUUAAUAUAACAGAGUACUACUCUUCUCAGCAUAAGCUAUCGAGGAAGCUUAUAAUCAGAGGGUGCUGAAUGAGCAUGGAGUUGGGACAAGAGGAAGUAGUUACAUAAUUGGAAUUUUUAGUGCUCUCAGACUGGGGGAACCUGAUGCCUCCGUCUCUAUUAUUGAGAUGGCUGUGCCCAGGGGACAGUAAUACUCAAAAUAUGUGGACCAGGUCUCUCUCCUCCCUGGACAGUGUUCAGGUAGGCCUUCCUCUGUGACUACAUCACUUUGUUUCUAUUGCUGCCAUCUCCCUUCCUGAGUGACCUACUCUUUGAGCUCAUUAAUAUCUUCAGUAAAGCCUUAUUCUGGUCUAAGAGUCAUCUUCCCCUCUUUAGGGGAAUUUUUUAUGUCUUUGUUCUGAUUCAUAUCUAUUAUUUCUUAUUUUCAGAUUGUUAGAGAAUAUCUCAUUUUUGCCUUAAUAUUUUAAUAACAAUAAAAAUAAUAGCUAACUUUUUUGGAUGCUUACUGUGUGCCUGACCCCAUUCUAAGUGCUUAUAUAUACUAACUCAUUUAUCCCCAUAACAACACUUUGAAGUAGGAGUUAUUAUUAUCAUCAUUUCAUAGAUGAACAGUAAGUACCUUCAGUAUUUUCCCCCUUAGGGUUCCAGUCCCUUCCUCUAGCUCUGUUUUCUUCCUGAGGCUGUAUGUUGUUUUGCACUGUGUUCGGAAUGCUAUGAUUCAUUCUGAAUGGCUAACAAAGACAUUUAUAAUGUUAAAAUCUUUACGUGCAUUCUUUGCAUCUGAUUUCUACCUCAUCUUACAGAUGAGGAAGUGGACCCAAGAGGAUUAAACGACCAAAUUAAAUGUCCGAAUCAGGCAGAACAAAGGAAUGAACCCAAAUCUUUCUGACCCUACUGUUUCUACUGUGCUAUGUUUCUACUCUGCUAGUAAGGUGGAGAUUCAUAGGAAGAGACCAAUAUUCUUUCCAAUUUACUGCAUGACUGUCAGAUGAAAGCAGGCCCAAGUAUAUUUUCUUCAUGAACUAGAUCAGAAUGACACAUAAAAGGAUUUUUGCAAAAUAGAGACAAAAUGAACACUUGUUUCUAGUGCUUUGCAAUUGCGGGAUCUUAGUUCCCCCACCAGGGGUUGAACCUGGACGAGGGCAGUGAAAGCGCUGAGUCCUAACCACUGGACCGCCGGGGAAUUCCCACAAAGUUAGGGUUUUAGAAGGAGCAAAAACGAGUAGUAGAUUAUUUCCCAUAACUUUCAGGAUCAAGGUCACACUCUUGGGUUGGAACACAGGCUCUUCCACAUCAUGCCUGCCUAUCAGUAGCCUCAUCUCCUGACACUCUCAUCAGUCAUUUGAACAAGCUCUUAAUUAUCUCGCACUCUGCCUGUGCCCAUACUGUUCCCUUUGCUUGGAUGCCCUUUUCCUUACCUCAUGUGCCAGUUGCUGCUUGUACCUCAAAACUCAGCUCACACAUCACUUCUCUGAUUUAGAUACCUCUUCUCUGUGUUCCUUGAAUAGCAUAGUCAAUAGAAGAAGGCCUGGAGUUUGAAUUCUAGCUCUGCUACUUGCUAACAUGUAUGAUCUUGGCCACUUUACUUAACCCUUUCUAAGCCUUUGAUGUUCCCAUCUAUAAAAUUGGAAGAAUAACAUUACUCUCCCACAGGGUUAUCAUAGGAUUGAAUGAAAUAAUAUAAUCAAACAGUUUGCCUGGAACAAGGUAAAAAUUCAGUAAAUGGCAGCAGCUGUUAUUCUCAUGGCUUCUCUCAAACUGUCAGUCAUAUUUGUUAUAAUCACUGAUUUAUUUGGAGGUAUUUGAAAGAUUAUUGCAUAUAUUAAAUACAUGAAAUAUCUAAAACCUUCUAGUAAGUGGUUAAGUAUCAAACAUGCUAUUUCAGGAUUUUGUGUAAUUUUCAGGAAAUCAUUAGAAAAAAUAGGGUACACAGUUCCCUGGCUUUGAUUUAGGUAUGAAUCUUAAGGAGAGCCCUGGAUUUCAUUAAUUUGGGAGACCGUUUAGCGCUCUGGUACCAAAACAUUUCUCAUUGCACCGAGAUUUCUUCUGGUCACUCUGCCUUUUUUUCCCUCAGAUCACGGAGCUGAAGGCUGAUUUUCAAUACCAAGAAUCUCAGAUGAGAGCCAAAAUGAACCAGAUGGAGAAAACCCACAAAGAAGUUACAGAACAAUUGCAGGCCAAAAACCGAGAGCUCCUGAAGCAGGCAGCUGCCUUGUCCAAGAGCAAGAAGUCAGAGAAGUCAGGAGCUAUAACCUCUCCAUGAGAGACCACAAGGACGCUCCUGGCAAUAGCAAUGGAUUCCUGGGUUAGGGUGGCAACGUAGCUGUUCUCUGGGAAUUGCAAGCUUUCUUAAGAAAUCUCUGUUUUACUAUAGUUAUCCUUCUUUGUGCGAUUGCAGUGGGGCUGAGUGGAAACACCUGGUUUGUGCUGUAUUAUGACUGCAUGCUUGAAUGUUUGGGGUUUCAGGCUCUCUCUCUCUCUCUCACUCUCUCACACUCCCCUCUCUACCCCCAACCCUUCUGUCAGUACUACUGUCUCUCUGUCUGUCUCUCUUUUGUUACUUUUUUUUCUGUGUGUGGUGGUCACUGCUCAGUGUUAUGUGCAGAAUGGUUUUUUUUUUUUUUUUUGGUCCAUCAUUGCAUCCUGCCAUACCCAUGAGCAAAUAGUUGGCAUUAAUUACAUAUCACUGCCACCCUCUGAACUUUGAAAACUGCCACCUUAAGACUUGGUACAGUGGAAGAGAAUUUUUCUCUCCAAUAAACCUUUUGCUUCAGGGUAUACUCUUGGGUUUUUUUCCAGGUAUAUUAUGUAUGAACUUUGUACUAUGUAUAGCCAGAGUUUUAUUUAUUUUUUAAAAAAAGAAACUUUUUCUUGAUAAAGGAGUAAUGGUAGCCUAGCUUGUUCUUCUUGUAAAAGUGAUGCCUCUUAAAAAAAAGUCCUACUCUCUAGCGUUUAGUAAAAGAAUCAGAUCUUUUCUUUCUUGUUACCUUGGAGUCUUAAAAACUGAUUGCUAGGGUGAAACAAUUCAAUAUGUAAGUAUGGAGUUAAGUGCCUUUUGGAGGAUUUCUUGGAAGACCAUGUAAGAAGAUACUUAAGGGAGGUAGCAAAGAUUUGGACAGUCUGUCUUUCUAAGUAAAGGCAGAAAGAAGGGUUGUCCAGGUUGUACUGGACACUUCUCUCCCCCACCCCUUUCUUGAUUGUUUUACGUGACUGAUUUUAAAUUCUCACACUGCCACCUCUUUUUAACAAAAUGCCCUUUACUUAUAUCAGUUGUCAUACUGGGCCAUUUUCAGGUAACUUUUUUUUUUACAUGAUUCAAAAUGGGAUACUAUUCAGACUACAGAGCAUUUUGGAGGUUAGUAUGAGCUGCUUCAGUACGGACUGUAAGUCCUGCUGGGAGAAUGAUCUCACUGUACCUUUUCCCCACUCGUCGUCACCCACCCCAGCCUGUACACUCCCUGCCUUUCAUGGAAAUGUGUUGAAAACAGGUGCUUCUCAAAAGCAGCUUGGCCGCAGCCUGAACUGUGUCCUGUUUUCCCUUCUUGACCCAAUAGGCACAUGGAUUCUCUUUUCCAGGUGAGAGGAUAGAUUUGCAUUUCUAGCCGUACUCUCAGGUCCUCUAGAUGAUGUUUGUGAAAGGAACUAGAGAUGUGUAGUGUGCCAUGAAACAGUAAAACCAGCUACCUUGGACUCAUUACUGUAGGGGGUGGUACUAGAGUUAGAGAGGUACUCAUAAGGGCAGAUGACAUUUGUACCUCAGUCUACCAAAAGUGUAGCAGUAAGUUUAACUUGCUAGGCAUUUCCUAGGAGCAAAUGCUUCUAAUUUGUGAGCAUUCUCACAAGUGGAGCCAUGCACUUAAUUGGACAGAGAUGUGGAAAUGAGUGGCUUCCUUCUGGUAAGAGGAACAAUGGACCAUGUUACUUAUCUAUCACUCUAGUAGAGGAUGUAAUUUUCCCUUCUAAGCAAGGGAAAUGGCAGUGCUAAAUAGUUUUGUAACUUUUUGAAUGAGAAACUUUUAGGUAAAAAACUUGUCAGAUAAUAUUUUCAGAUGCAUUUACAUUGACUAUGCGGAAAAGAUUGUGAAAAAAGUUACAGUCAUUUUUUUUUUUAAUUUUAAAGACUUGAGAAAUUCUGUUACAUGAAGUGACAAUGUAAAAACACAUUUAGUUUUAUACUAAAUCUUUUUUUAAGGUCUUGGCAUUUAAUAUAAAGCAAAUCCACACAUUUUCUAACUUUCCACAAGUUCCAAAAAGGGAAGGAAGAAACCUCAGUCUUGAAAUUUUGGUUUUUAAAACUCAUGACACUGUUUUACCAUGAAAUUGAGUAGCUAACUUUUGGUAACACCUUUUGUUUAUUUGUAUGUUUGUAAUAAUGGACCUUUUAAAACACAGGAAUGUUUUGGUUUGUACAGACUUUGAAAAAUGUGUGUUAAUAAAAAUUCAUAUUGACUUAA